GCCUGAGCAGCGACGCCCGCGUGUGGGAUGACGGUCUUCGGAUUGUAAACCCCUUUCAGUAGGGACGAAACGCAAGUGACGGUUACCUGCAGAAGAAGCACCGGCUAACUACGUGCCACGCCGCCCCAACUAAUACGUAAGGUGCGAGCGUUUACCGAAAUUACUGAGCGUAAACAGCACUUAUGCGGUUUGUCACGUCCGUCAGUGAAAUCCCUCGGCUUAACCUGAGAGCCUGCAGGCUCAUACUGGCAAACUUGACUACUAACAUGGGAGACUGGAAUUCCUGGAGUAACGUUGAAAUGCCCAGAUAUCAGGAAGAACACCAGAGGUCAAGGCGAAUCUCUGGGUAGUAACUGACCCUCAGGACCGAAACCGUGGCUAACGAACAAGAUUAUAUACCCUGGUAGUCCAUACAGUACACGGUGGUCGCUACGUGAGACGACCUUCACCAGACUCCGUGACCCAUCUAACCCAUUAGGCGCCCCGCCUGGGAAGUACCGCCGCAAGGCUAAACUCAGAGGAAUUGACGGGGGCCCGCACAACGGCG
rnacentral:rRNA from 1 species